CCUACGGGAGGCUGCAGUGGGGAAUAUUGCACAAUGGGCGCAAGCCUGAUGCAGCCAUGCCGCGUGUAUGAAGAAGGCCUUCGGGUUGUAAAGUACUUUCAGCGGGGAGGAAGGGAGUAAAGUUAAUACCUUUGCUCAUUGACGUUACCCGCAGAAGAAGCACCGGCUAACUCCGUGCCAGCAGCCGCGGUAAUACGGAGGGUGCGAGCGUUAAUCGGAAUUACUGGGCGUAAAGCGCUCGUAGGCGGUAUGUCAAGUCAAGGGUGAAAUCCCCGCGCUCAACGUGGGAACUGCCUUUGAAACUGGCAAACUGGAGUGUGUGAGAGGAUAGUGGAAUUCCAGGUGUAGGAGUGAAAUCCGUAGAUAUCUGGAGGAACAUCAGUGGCGAAGGCGACUAUCUGGCACAUAACUGACGCUGAGGAGCGAAAGCGUGGGUAGCAAACAGGAUUAGAUACCCUUGUAGUC
rnacentral:rRNA from 1 species